AGAUAACCCAAUAUUCAGCUAUGAAAUUAAAACAAAAAAAAUUCAAGAACCACCUUAGAAUCAGAUGUGGGAGACAAAGUACGUAGUUGCCGCGAAUUGAACUUGGUGCCUUUGUAGAUGUAGUUGUCGUACGGACCUUUGCGAUUAGUUGAUUACUGAUCAAAUAAACUGACUAAUUUGAAGAUUGAAGUUUUUGAUGGGGAAGAGAAAGAGAGAACGAAUUUGUUAACCUUGAGAGAGAUUGGUGUGGGUACAUGAGAUUGCAAAUAAUUAUGGUCUAUGUUUCUUUAGAUGAGAAAGAUCUCUUGCAAUUGAAAUGGAGGAGGAGACGGAAGAAGAAGAAAGAAAGACGAGGGAGAUGAAAAACUUAAGAAGAGAGGCAAGAUAGAUUAGGGUUUGAUGAGAAAUAUAUUAUAUUUAAUGUGUAAGUUGUUAACUUUGUUUUGAGUUUUGACUUCUAUGAAGUAAUAAAAUUAGUUUUUGCAUAUAGAUUAACAGCAUGAGGAUCUGCCUUGGUGGUUUG